ensembl:lncRNA
CAGCACACAGGACACUGCUGCUAACAAGAGCGUAGGCCUGAAUGCCAGGAACAUGGACUCGCGACAUUCAUUUGCAAAAAGGCAAACAUGGAGGUUUUCGCAUCCAGAAAAUGCUGCAGCUUCUACCAGCACCUUGGUAACAUCUAACAGCAAGGAGCGCAAUGUGUAAUGCCUACUCAAGAUAAGAAGCCACAACCCUGAAAAGGAAUUCUCUGAAUACGAAUCCCACUGUUCUCCUGGCAGCCCUGCCCUGGCUUUGCAGCAACAAGAGCACCAAGCAGCUCAGCCAUGACACCAACUACACUUUGCCAAAGUGGUAGAAAAAGAGUUAGAGAAGCAAGCAGGAGCAGGCUGUGGACAGCCCACGUCUGCUGCAGCACAAGUGUAAGAAAAGAAUAUGAUUUGGACUACUGUAAGCCUUUCACCAUCUCCCUCAAGGAAACUGCUGAAGAUAAAAUUACAAAUGCCCUAUACAUGCAACCAUAUUAGCAUCUCAAGCAAGCACAAAUACGGCAUAUUUGACCCAGUGGGAAAGUGGCACUGGCAACACAACACAGCCCAUUGUCAAAGGAAUCUAGAUGAAAAUAUGAAUUCCUCUCAUUCACUGUCCUCAAAAAUAACUCUUCAGUGGAGCAAAACAGUAAGAGCCGUGCAUGACUGAAGAAUAGAGCUGUCUGGCAGGCUGAGAAGUAUGUAUGCCAACAAGGAGCUAAAAUGAAUGUCCAAAGCACUGUGAAGGAAAUGAAGCUGACUGUAUUAUCUGGCAGAGAAACAUAGAAGUCUUCACAUGUCCAUCACAGUCAGGUUCACUUGACUAGGCAUCUGCUGCCAUUCUACCAUGACUUCACUGGGUAAC